rnacentral:rRNA from 1 species
UAAUACGGAGGGUGCAAGCGUUGUUCGGAAUUACUGGGCGUAAAGAGCUCGUAGGUGGCUUUGUAAGUCAGAUGUGAAAUACUUUUGCUCAACGAGAGAAUUGCAUUUGAAACUGCAUAGCUUGAGUACGGGAGAGGGAAGUGGAAUUCCAGGUGUAGCGGUGAAAUGCGUAGAUAUCUGGAAGAACACCGGUGGCGAAGGCGACUUCCUGGACCGAUACUGACACUGAGGAGCGAAAGCGUGGGGAGCAAACAGGAUUAGAUACCCUGGUAGUCCACGCCGUAAACGAUGGGCACUAGGUGUAGGGGGUUUAUCCUUCUGUGCCGAAGCUAACGCAUUAAGUGCCCCGCCUGGGGAGUACGGUCGCAAGGCUA